rnacentral:rRNA from 1 species
ACAUAUUGUGAGCUCGAUGAGUAGGGCGGGACACGUGGUAUCCUGUCUGAAUAUGGGGGGACCAUCCUCCAAGGCUAAAUACUCCUGACUGACCGAUAGUGAACCAGUACCGUGAGGGAAAGGCGAAAAGAACCCCGGCGAGGGGAGUGAAAAAGAACCUGAAACCGUGUACGUACAAGCAGUGGGAGCACGCUUAGGCGUGUGACUGCGUACCUUUUGUAUAAUGGGUCAGCGACUUAUAUUCUGUAGCAAGGUUAACCGAAUAGGGGAGCCGAAGGGAAACCGAGUCUUAACUGGGCGUUAAGUUGCAGGGUAUAGACCCGAAACCCGGUGAUCUAGCCAUGGGCAGGUUGAAGGUUGGGUAACACUAACUGGAGGACCGAACCGACUAAUGUUGAAAAAUUAGCGGAUGACUUGUGGCUGGGGGUGAAAGGCCAAUCAAACCGGGAGAUAGCUGGUUCUCCCCGAAAGCUAUUUAGGUAGCGCCUCGUGAAUUCAUCUCCGGGGGUAGAGCACUGUUUCGGCAAGGGGGUCAUCCCGACUUACCAACCCGAUGCAAACUGCGAAUACCGGAGAAUGUUAUCACGGGAGACACACGGCGGGUGCUAACGUCCGUCGUGAAGAGGGAAACAACCCAGACCGCCAGCUAAGGUCCCAAAGUCAUGGUUAAGUGGGAAACGAUGUGGGAAGGCCCAGACAGCCAGGAUGUUGGCUUAGAAGCAGCCAUCAUUUAAAGAAAGCGUAAUAGCUCACUGGUCGAGUCGGCCUGCGCGGAAGAUGUAACGGGGCUAAACCAUGCACCGAAGCUGCGGCAGCGA